rnacentral:rRNA from 1 species
UACGUAGGGCGCAAGCGUUAUCCGGAAUUAUUGGGCGUAAAGAGCUCGUAGGCGGUUUGUCGCGUCUGCCGUGAAAGUCCGGGGCUCAACCCCGGGAGGCGGGCGGAUACUGUCGGGCUAGAGUACGGAAGAGGCGAGUGGAAUUCCUGGUGUAGCGGUGGAAUGCGCAGAUAUCAGGAGGAACACCAAUAGCGAAGGCAGCUCGCUGGGACGUUACUGACACUGAGGCGCGAAAGCGUGGGGAGCGAACAGG